CACGGAGGGUGCAAGCGUUGUCCGGAUUUAUUGGGUUUAAAGGGUGCGUAGGCGGCCCGUUAAGUCAGUGGUGAAAGCCUCCAGCUCAACUGGAGAACUGCCAUUGAUACUGACGGGCUUGAGUACAGACGAGGUAGGCGGAAUUGAUUGUGUAGCGGUGAAAUGCAUAGAUACAAUCAAGAACACCGAUUGCGUAGGCAGCUUACUAGGCUGUAACUGACGCUGAGGCACGAAAGCGUGGGGAGCGAACAGG
rnacentral:rRNA from 1 species